UCCGUGGCUCUGAAGCUUCCCCCGCUGCCCCCCCCCGCCCCCGUCCCCGCCAGUGAAGGGGCUUCCUAGUGUGUGGAAACAUUUCCUCCUUCAGAGCUCCCUCCCACUCGUGCAGAUCACUUGCUCCUGGGCCAGCCAGCUGCCAUGCCACGAGUUCUAUGGGGAGGCCCAUGUGGUAAAGGACAGGUCUGCCAACAACCACGUGAGUGAAUUUAGAAAGAGCCUUCUCCCAGCCUUCAAAAGAGCACGCAACCCCAAUGACAGCUUUGUCUGCAACCUCAGGGAAGACCUUGAGCCAACAGCACCCAGCUAUGCCACACCCAGAUUCCUGACCCACAGAAACCGUGAGGCAAAAACUAUUCACUGAGCAAGUAAUCAACAAGUGCAACAACAAGUGCAUAUAAAUAUAUUAACACAGCACAAAAGGAAUGUGUAAGUCAUCACCAAAUGAAGCAAGGUGUUUUAGACUCAGAAGUUACUCGGAACCAUAAGACGAUGAUUUUUCAACAGAAUAUGUCUCCUUCCUUCACCGUGGCUAUUUCUCUUUAAGUGCUGUGCAUCCUACUGUCUUUGCCUACACGCUGCCAACACUUGACAAAUGGACUCUGAAUGACUGAUGGUCAUGUCCAUUGCAUGAUAUCUCCUGAUAAUGAAGGCUCAUUGGAACACAGAAAUGUUCUUACCACUGUAAGGUUCAAUAAUCAUACAGCAACUCACUUCAUGAGUACUGAACACAGAAAGAAGUUCUCUUCAUCCAAGUUACAGAUUCUCUCUGACUUAUUCAACCAUGAGGGUCUUGCUUUCCAUCCUUGGGGUCCUUGCCUUGUUGUUCCUCAAGGUAAGAAGGAAACCUUUCAUUUCAAAGUUAUGAAAAUAUAAAUGAAAAAGAAUACAAGGUCUUCCAAGAGUUUGAAAAUAAAUUUGACAAGGGAAGAUUGUACCAUAAGACAAAGAAUGUGAGAGAAGUGGAGAAUUUAUGGUUAGGGCAACAUCCAUAAGGUGGUGCCCCCCAGGGAUUUAACCUACUAUAAACUCUUACUUGAAGACUGUGUUUGAUCUAAAGAAGGUAGAAGGAGGUUUAUAGAACACAGAAAAUUUGGGGAACUGAAGAAAUGGAAAGUGAGUGGUGAUUAGAAGAAGGGCCAGGGUGAAAAGGAGGCUGCUCCAUCAUCAUCUGUGGUUUACAGAACACUCUGAUCACUGACCUAUGUACGGGUUUAUGUGGAAAUUACUUCACGUAUGGUGGGAGCUAAGAUUCCAUCCUCACACUUAACCAAGUAACCAAUUAUACAGGCAUAUUUAUUGAAUAAUCAAUCUAACCCUCCCAAAUUAAUUUUAAAAUCCACCAAUAUUAUGUAAUAAAUAUAUAUUAAUUGUUGGGCUUAUCACUGGGACUUGUAUUAUUAUCUACUGACAUCUUUUCUGAUGCAUGUACUACCUUAGAUCACCUGUAAUACCUGGAAAUUCAAGAUUUCCCUCAUUGUUCUUGUUCUUUUUAUUGAGAUAAAAUUCACUCUUUUAAAGUGUACCAUUUCAGUGGUUUUCUGUAUAUUCCUAAAGUUGUGCAACCAUCACCACUAUCCAAUUCCAAAACAUUCCAUCACCCCAAAAAGAAACUCUGUAUUCAUGAGCAGUCAUUCCCCAUUCUCCCCUCCCCUCAGACCCUGGCAACUAUUAAUCUACUUUCUGUCUCUAUCGAUUUACCUAUUCUGGACAUUUAAUAUAAUCAAACAACAUGUGACUCUUUGUGUUUUCUUUCACUUAGCACAAGGUUUUUCAAAGUUUAUCCAUGUUGUAGCAUGCAUCAAUACGUAAUCCCUUUCAAAUGAUGAACAGUAUUCUAUUAAAUGGAUACACUACCUUUUAAUCAUCCAGUCAUCAGCUGAUGGACAUUUGGAUUGUUUCUAGUUUGGAGCUAUUAUCAAUGAUGUUGCUCCGGACAUUUACAUCCAAGUUUUUGUGUGGAUAUAUUUUCAAUUCUCUUGGAUAUAUACCUGGGUAUAUUGCUGUGUUUUAUGGUUACACUAUGUUUAAAUUUCUAAGGAGCUGCCAAACUAUUUUCCACAGCUUCAUCCUUUAUUUUACAAUCCCACCAGCAGUGCUUGAGGGUUCCAAUUUCUCCACAUACUCACAUACUCCGCUAUGGUCCAUAUCUUUUAUUAUAGUCAUCUCAUUGUAGUUUUAAUUUGUAUUUUAAUUUGCAUCUAAUUUGCAACAUUAAUGAUGUUGAACAUCUUUUCAGUGUUUUAUUGGCCAUUUGUAUAUUUUCUUUGUAGAAAUGUCUACUCAAAUCCUUUACUUAUUUUUUAAUUUAGCUGUUUUUCAUUAGUGGGUUGUCAGUUCUUGGUAUAUUUUGGACACUAAACCUUUAAGAGAUAUAGGUUUGCAAAUAUUCUCUCCCAUUCUUUGAGUUGUUUCUUUUUAAAAAAAUAUUUGACUGGACAUUGCUGUACCAGUGAACAUGUUUCCAGGUUUGAGUGAGAAACAACUCAGAUUCAGUUAUCUCCGUGGGCAGAGGACAUGAUUUUAUAUGUGGAAACCCUAAGAUGCCCGCAAAAAAUUUAGAACUAGUAAAAAAAAAAUUCACUACAUUACAGAAUACAAAAUCAAUAAGCAAAAACCAGUUGCAUUUCUAUAUACUAACAACAAACUAUUCAAAAGCGAAAUUAUGAAACCAAUCCCAUUUAUAAUAGCAUCAAAAGAACAAAGUGCUGAGGAAUACAACUUAACCAAGGAGGUGAAAGAUUUGUACACUGAAAACUACAAAAUAUUGAUGAAAGAAAUUAAAGGAGAUGCAAAUAAACAGAAGACAAUCCCUGUUCAUCGACUGAAAGAAUACUUCUAAAAUGUUCAUAAUUCCCAAAGCAAAUUAUAGAUUCAGUAAAAUCCUUGUGGAAAUCCCAAAGUUAUUUUUUACAGAAAUAGAAAAAACAAUCCUAGAACAGUUUAAAAAUUUUUUUAAACAGAUAAAAUAAUUUUUAAAGAAAGGAAAGAGGGAAGGAAGAGAGAGCCCUAAAAUUCUUAUGGAGCCACGAAAGUCCCUGAAUAGCAAAUCAAUUUUAAGCAAAAAAAACAAAGCUGGUGGCAUCACAAUUCAUGACUUCAAAAUAUAUUACAAAGCUAUAAUAAUUUUAAAAGUGUGGUACUGGCAUAAAUACAGACAUGUAGAACAGUGGAAGAGAACAGAAAGCCCAGAGAUAAGCCCACAGAGAGAGAACUGAUAUUCAACAAGGGUACUAAGACUAUACAAUGGAGAAAGGAUAGUCUCUUUAACAAACCGUGUUAGGAAAACUGGAUAGUCACAUGCAAAAGAGUACAUUUAUAGAAAAAAUCAAUUCAAAAUAGAUUAAAGGUUUAAACAUAAGACCUGAAACUGUAAAAUUUCUAGAAGAAAACAUGGAGGAAGAGCUCAUGAGACUGGUCUUUGUAAUGAUUUCUUGGAUAUGCACAAGCACAAGCAACAAAGGCAAAAUUAGACAAGUAGGACUACAUCAAACUAAAAAGCUUCUGCACAGCAAAGGAACAGUCAACAGAGUGAAAAGACAACCUACGGAAUAGGAGAAAAUAUUUGCAAACCCUAUACUCAGUAAGGGUUUAUAAGUUCCUCGCAAAACACAUGAGGAGCUCACACAACUCAACAGCCCAAAAUAAUAACAAAGCAAUUAAAAAUGGGCAAAGGACCUGAAUAGAUAUUUUUCCGAAGAAGAUAUACAAAUAGCCAAAAGGGAUACAAAAAAAGGUGUUCGAUGUCACUUAUCAUCAGGGAAAUGCAAAUCAAGCCCACAAUGAGAUAUCACCUCAUACCUGUUACAAUGGCUAUUACCAAAAUAAUAAUAAUAACAAAUAUUGUAGAUAUAUGGAAUAAAGGGAACCCUUGUACACUUUUAGGAGAAAUGUAAAUUGAAAGAGUAAUUAUGAAAAAGAUUAUCAAUGUUCCUUUAAAAAUUAGAGCCAGAACCACCAUAAGAUCCAGCAAUUCCACAUCUGAGUAUAUAUCCAAAGGAAAUGAUGUUUAAUCAGGAUGUUGAAGAGAUAUCUGUACUCCUAUGUUCACUGCAGCAUUAUUCAUACUAGCCAAGAUACAGAAACAACCAAAGUGUCUGUCAAUGGAUAAAUGGGUAAAGAAAUUGUGAUAUAUAUAUACACAUACAUAUAUGUGUAUAUAUAUAUGUGUAUGUAUAUUCACACAACAGAAUAUUAUUCAGCCUUAAAAAGAAGGAAACUAUACCAUUUGCAAUGACAUGGACAAAUGCCCUGAAGGACAUUAUGCUAAGUCAAGUAAGUGAGACAUAGAAAGACCAAUACUGUAUGAUCUCAUUUAUAUGUGGAACGUAAAAAUGUAAAACUCAAAGAAGUAGAUAGUAUAAUGGUGGUUGCCAAGGUAUGGUGGGUGGGGGAAUGGAGAGAUGUUAGUCAAAGGGAACAAACUUCCAGUUAUAAAAUGAACAAGUUCUAGAGACUUAAUGUACAGCAUGGUGACUAUAGUUAAUAAAAAUAGUUAAUAAUACUGUAUUAUAUACUUGAAAUCUGCUAGGAGAGUAGAUCUCAAGUGAUCUUACCAUACAAUAAAAGGAUAACCAUGUGAAGUGUUGGAUAUGUUAAUUAUCUCAUGGUGGUAAUCAAUUCAAUGUAUAUUAUAUCAAAACAUCGCAUUGUAUACCUUAAAUGUAUACAGUUUUUAUCAGUCAGUCAUUCCUCAAUAAAGGUGAAAAACACAAACACACAGGAAGAAAAUGUGAUAUACAUCAAUAUACAAAAUAAAUUCAGCCUUAAAAAAGAAGGAAA